GCGUGCGCCCUACCAUCUAGUGAAUCCUGUUCAAUAUAAAACCAGGAUUAGUAUCUCAAGCUUUAUCAUUACUUCAUUAAUCUUCUACGACUAAAUAUGAAGGUGAUCUUCUGCAUCUUUAUGCUUCUUGUUUUACUAUCAUUAGUAAAUUCUAAACGUACACAUCGUGUACGGUUUCCCUUCAAGUCUGGACCUAAACUUCGCCCCAAGCGCGACACAAGAUUCAAUAUGGAGUCCAGGCUUAUACAAGCAGCUGACCAGGAGAUACAACCUCACCUGGAAGCACUGCAACUUUUGUAAAAUGGUUUUUUAAUAAUCAAAUUUAUAUUAACUAUCUAAUUUUUUUGGUCGAUUGUGAGGUAUAAUUGCGCAAGAUUUUGCACGCUUACACUAAACCUUCAACCUUUCAACAAUGAAUACCAGUUUAUAAUAAUAUAAUAACCUUUAAUUCAACUUUGUUUUAUAUAAUUCGAAAUAAAUCAGUUAAAUCAAUUGUA